rnacentral:rRNA from 1 species
UGGGGAAUAUUGCACAAUGGGGGAAACCCUGAUGCAGCGACGCCGCGUGGAGGAAGAAGGUCUUCGGAUUGUAAACUCCUGUUGUUGAGGAAGAUAAUGACGGUACUCAACAAGGAAGUGACGGCUAACUACGUGCCAGCAGCCGCGGUAAAACGUGGGUCACAAGCGUUGUCCGGAAUUACUGGGUGUAAAGGGAGCGCAGGCGGGAGAACAAGUUGGAAGUGAAAUCCAUGGGCUCAACCCAUGAACUGCUUUCAAAACUGUUUUUCUUGAGUAGUGCAGAGGUAGGCGGAAUUCCCGGUGUAGCGGUGGAAUGCGUAGAUAUCGGGAGGAACACCAGUGGCGAAGGCGGCCUACUGGGCACCAACUGACGCUGAGGCUCGAAAGUGUGGGUAGCAAACAGGAUUAGAUACCCUGGUAGUCCACACCGUAAACGAUGAUUACUAGGUGUUGGAGGAUUGACCCCUUCAGUGCCGCAGUUAACACAAUAAGUAAUCCACCUGGGGAGUACGACCGCAAGGUUGAAACUCAAAGGAAUUGACGGGGGCCCGCACAAGCAGUGGAGUAUGUGGUUUAAUUCGACGCAACGCGAAGAACCUUACCAAGUCUUGACAUCCCUUGACGAUGCUGGAAACAGUAUUUCUCUUCGGAGCAAGGAGACAGGUGGUGCAUGGUUGUCGUCAGCUCGUGUCGUGAGAUGUUGGGUUAAGUCCCGCAACGAGCGCAACCCUUAUGGUCAGUUACUACGCAAGAGGACUCUGGCCAGACUGCCGUUGACAAAACGGAGGAAGGUGGGGAUGACGUCAAAUCAUCAUGCCCUUUAUGACUUGGGCUACACACGUACUACAAUGGCGUUAAACAAAGAGAAGCAGGACCGCGAGGUGGAGCAAAACUCAGAAACAACGUCCCAGUUCGGACUGCAGGCUGCAACUCGCCUGCACGAAGUCGGAAUUGCUAGUAAUCGUGGAUCAGCAUGCCACGGUGAAUACGUUCCC